GUGCUCACUUCGGCAGCACAUAUACUAAAAUUGUAACAAUACAGAAAAUUAGCAUGGCUCCUACUCAAGAAUGACACACAGAUUCAUGAAGCAUUCCAUAUUUUU
ensembl:snRNA Rnu6-936 RNA, U6 small nuclear 936